rnacentral:tRNA from 1 species
GCGGAAGUGGCGGAAUUGGUAGACGCGUAAGCCUCAGGAGUUUAUGGUCUUUAACGGCCGUGUGGGUUCGAGUCCCACCUUCCGCACCA